rnacentral:tRNA from 1 species
AGGAGAGUAGCUUAAUGGUAGAGCAACAGUUUUCAAAACUGUCUGUUACAGGUUCAAGUCCUGUUUUUCCUG